ACCCAAAAUGAACUCCUUAAAUACUGUAUCAUACUGUAAUGUGAGGGCCGCUCAUCUAUGAUUGUUAAAGUGAAAGAGCGUAAUGGGGGUACGGGUAGGCACCGCCCUCAUCCAUCCAAUGUCCACAACAUAUCUAAGCCAUUUGUCACCGAGAUGUUCAGUGACCCAAGGAGUCUUCUUGUCCUAUAACUCACUUUGAUUUAUAUAUGUG